AACGCAUAUUGCGCCCCUUGGCAUUCCGGGGGGCACACCUGUUCGAGCGCCAUUUCAACCCUCAAGCAUAGCUUGGUGUUGGGUGAGAUCUUAGGAGAUCCACCCGUAACUUGUAGGCGGUCACCGUCCCCUCCUUCAGCGUAGCAAGCUCACGCAUUCGCUCAAGGACGGGGUGAGUGGCCAUGCCAUAAUUAAACUUCUCAAGGUUUGGCCUCGGAUCAGGUGGGGAUACCCGCUGAACUUAA
rnacentral:misc_RNA from 1 species